UCCGAUAUGGUGUAGUGGCUAACAUCGCUCGCUCUCAAUAACCUUUGAACCGAGCAGCCCUGGGUUCGAUUCCCAGUAUCGGAG
rnacentral:tRNA from 1 species